GGAGGUGGUAGGGUAAGUCCUUUUAGUGGAAGCUUUUCUUCUAAGCUGCUCUUCCACUCUCACACAUAGCUGGACAAAGUCAUUUAGAUCUAGGUAAGGUAAGAGUUCUACCUUAUCUCUAAUCUCAUAGUUUAAUCCACUCUGAAAUCUAGCUAUGGUGAAUCUCUCAUCUUCUUUUAUCCCUGCUCUCAACAUGAGUAACUCUAAUUUUUGCCUA
rnacentral:lncRNA from 1 species